CUCCUUUGUCUCCUGCCACAAUUGUAAGUUUCGUGAGGAUUCCCCAGUCAUGUGAAACUUUCUGGCAGCUGGCAAGUUCAAGGUUGGUGAGCCCGUACUACUUGGCAGGGUCUUCUUGGUGCAUCAUCACGUGGCAGAAGGAAGGAGGGAAGGUGCUUGCUUCCCAUUCCCUUCUGCCAGUAUGGUUAAGUUUCCUAAGGCCUCCCAGUCAAGUUUCCUGUUAAGCCUGUGGAACUGUCAAUCGAUUAAACCUCUUUUUUUUCUCAUAAAUUACCCUGUCUCAGAGAGUUAUUUACAGCAGUGUGAAAACAGACUAAUACAGUGGGUUUGAGAUUCUUUUUACUAUUUUCUGAGUAAUUCAAGUAUCUAUUUUUAUGAAUAACCUCUUCAUA
rnacentral:lncRNA from 10 species